CCUCCUUGUGGUGACAACUAAAAUACUGUCUAUGUUAAACAUAUUGUACAACAUGAGUACACACAAUGAAUAUCUUAACAGAGACGUCUAUUUUUUUUUCAUGCUUUGUGGCAGCUUUAGAACAUCUGUGGCAUCUAUUAAUGUCAAAUCUAGCCUUUAUUUAACAACAUAAGCAAACUCUAUGUUACAAUGAUUGCACAGCCAUUAAGGAUCAAAUCAGUUUCUGAAAAAUGUUCUGUUUUUCUCCUCUGCUUGCUUCUUACUGUCUUUGAGGCUCGGGACCAGCACUCCUGCUGUUGGACAGAAAGACAUCAACUUGAGAUAUGACUGCACUAUGCUGUUGCUGGUGACCACAGUUAAUUCUACAAGACAUGCUGUGACAACAGGAGAGACGAGUCCUCCGUCACAGAUGGUGUGGUCAGUGAAGAUGGUCGCCUGCAGGUUCAAGCUCAUUGCAUCUCCAACCCACAUCCACUGCCACUGUACUUAAGGGAAGUUAAAGACUUUCUUCUGCACCUACAUUUGGAUCACCUCGAUCCAUGACAGUCAUUCAGGCAGUAAUGCCUGGACUGGAAACAAGCCAUCCUUAAAAUAAUACAACAUUCCAGCUCCUGUGUUGGAAUGGAAAACAAAUGUGUUGUUUAAAUUAGAGACUGCACUUGUGACAGAACAAUAAAUAUUUUAUUUUGAUUAUAUAAGUAAUGUAAGUACAAAACAAACUUGUGGUAGGCCUAAACUUAUUUUCAGAAUAAUUACAUCUGAGACUUUGUUUCAUUGUAAGAUUAUAACAGUGAUGGCAAUAUAAUUGUUUGUUGUUCAGCAGAACAGUGUCCAGUAUGUUGGCUGUUAUACUUUGUUGUGUUUGAAAAUAAAAGUUGGGCUCAUUUUA
ensembl:lncRNA